GGAGUUUGGACCGUGUCUCAGUUCCAAUGUGGGGGACCUUCCUCUCAGAACCCCUACUGAUCGUAGCCUUGGUGGGCCGUUACCCCGCCAACAAGCUAAUCAGACGCAUCCCCAUCCUUAACCGAAAAAAUCUUUGGUCCGGGUCAGAUGCCCUCGCUGGACCACAUCGGGCAUUAAUCCGGUUUUCACCGGGCUAUUCCCAAGUUAAGGGAAGGUUGGAUACGCGUUACUCACCCGUGCGCCGGUCGCCAUCGCCUCGUCCGAGGACAAGGCAUGCUGCCCCGCGACUUGCAUGUGUUAAGCCUGUAGCUAGCGUUCAUC
rnacentral:rRNA from 1 species